rnacentral:rRNA from 1 species
GAGCGGUACAUCAGGGGAGCUUGCUCCCUGGGUGACGAGCGGCGGACGGGUGAGUAAUGUCUGGGAAACUGCCUGAUGGAGGGGGAUAACUACUGGAAACGGUAGCUAAUACCGCAUAACGUCGCAAGACCAAAGAGGGGGACCUUCGGGCCUCUUGCCAUCAGAUGUGCCCAGAUGGGAUUAGCUAGUAGGUGGGGUAAUGGCUCACCUAGGCGACGAUCCCUAGCUGGUCUGAGAGGAUGACCAGCCACACUGGAACUGAGACACGGUCCAGACUNNUACGGGAGGCAGCAGUGGGGAAUAUUGCACAAUGGGCGCAAGCCUGAUGCAGCCAUGCCGCGUGUGUUAAGAAGGCCUUCGGGUUGUAAAGCACUUUCAGCGAGGAGGAAGGUGGUGAGCUUAAUACGCUCAUCAAUUGACGUUACUCGCAGAAGAAGCACCGGCUAACUCCGUGCCAGCAGCCGCGGUAAUACGGAGGGUGCAAGCGUUAAUCGGAAUUACUGGGCGUAAAGCGCACGCAGGCGGUUUGUUAAGUCAGAUGUGAAAUCCCCGGGCUCAACCUGGGAACUGCAUUUGAAACUGGCAAGCUAGAGUCUCGUAGAGGGGGGGUAGAAUUCCAGGUGUAGCGGUGAAAUGCGUAGAGAUCUGGAGGAAUACCGGUGGCGAAGGCGGCCCCCUGGACGAAGACUGACGCUCAGGUGCGAAAGCGUGGGGAGCAAACAGGGUUAGAUACCCUGGUAGUCCACGCUNUAAACGAUGNUGAUUUGGAGGUUGUGCCCUUGAGGGUGGCUUCCGGAGCUAACGCG